ACGAACGCUGGCGGCACGCUUAACACAUGCAAGUCGAACGAGAGAAGAGAAGCUUGCUUUUCUGAUCUAGUGGCGGACGGGUGAGUAACACGUGAGCAAUCUGCCUUUCAGAGGGGGAUACCGAUUGGAAACGAUCGUUAAUACCGCAUAACAUAAUUGAACCGCAUGAUUUGAUUAUCAAAGAUUUAUCGCUGAAAGAUGAGCUCGCGUCUGAUUAGCUAGUUGGUAAGGUAACGGCUUACCAAGGCGACGAUCAGUAGCCGGACUGAGAGGUUGAUCGGCCACAUUGGGACUGAGACACGGCCCAGACUCCUACGGGAGGCAGCAGUGGGGAAUAUUGCACAAUGGAGGAAACUCUGAUGCAGCGAUGCCGCGUGAGGGAAGAAGGUUUUAGGAUUGUAAACCUCUGUCUUCAGGGACGAAAAAAGACGGUACCUGAGGAGGAAGCUCCGGCUAACUACGUGCCAGCAGCCGCGGUAAUACGUAGGGAGCGAGCGUUGUCCGGAAUUACUGGGUGUAAAGGGAGCGUAGGCGGGAUCGCAAGUCAGAUGUGAAAACUAUGGGCUUAACCCAUAAACUGCAUUUGAAACUGUGGUUCUUGAGUGAAGUAGAGGUAAGCGGAAUUCCUAGUGUAGCGGUGAAAUGCGUAGAUAUUAGGAGGAACAUCAGUGGCGAAGGCGGCUUACUGGGCUUUAACUGACGCUGAGGCUCGAAAGCGUGGGGAGCAAACAGGAUUAGAUACCCUGGUAGUCCACGCCGUAAACGAUGAUUACUAGGUGUGGGGGGACUGACCCCUUCCGUGCCGCAGCAAACGCAAUAAGUAAUCCACCUGGGGAGUACGACCGCAAGGUUGAAACUCAAAGGAAUUGACGGGGGCCCGCACAAGCAGUGGAGUAUGUGGAUUAAUUCGAAGCAACGCGAAGAACCUUACCAGGUCUUGACAUCGUAUGCAUAGCUCAGAGAUGAGUGAAAUCUCUUCGGAGACAUAUAGACAGGUGGUGCAUGGUUGUCGUCAGCUCGUGUCGUGAGAUGUUGGGUUAAGUCCCGCAACGAGCGCAACCCUUACUGUUAGUUGCUACGCAAGAGCACUCUAGCAGGACUGCCGUUGACAAAACGGAGGAAGGUGGGGAUGACGUCAAAUCAUCAUGCCCCUUAUGACCUGGGCCUCACACGUACUACAAUGGCUGUCAACAGAGGGAUGCAGAGCCGCGAGGUGGAGCGAACCCCUAAAAGCAGUCUUAGUUCGGAUUGUAGGCUGCAACCCGCCUACAUGAAGUCGGAAUUGCUAGUAAUCGCAGAUCAGCAUGCUGCGGUGAAUACGUUCCCGGGCCUUGUACACACCGCCCGUCACGCCAUGGGAGUCGGUAACACCCGAAGCCUGUAGUCUAACCGCAAGGAGGACGCAGUCGAAGGUGGGAUUGAUGACUGGGGUG
rnacentral:rRNA from 1 species